ACCCCGGCUAAAGCCCCGACGGGAGGGGAUGGCUCCGCGGCCCAUCAGGUAGACGGCGGGGUGACGGCCCACCGUGCCGACAACGGGUAGCCGGGUUGAGAGACCGACCGGCCAGAUUGGGACUGAGACACGGCCCAGACUCCUACGGGAGGCAGCAGUGGGGAAUCUUGCGCAAUGGGGGGAACCCUGACGCAGCGACGCCGCGUGCGGGACGGAGGCCUUCGGGUCGUAAACCGCUUUCAGCAGGGAAGAGUCAAGACUGUACCUGCAGAAGAAGCCCCGGCUAACUACGUGCCAGCAGCCGCGGUAAUACGUAGGGGGCGAGCGUUAUCCGGAUUCAUUGGGCGUAAAGCGCGCGUAGGCGGCCCGGCAGGCCGGGGGUCGAAGCGGGGGGCUCAACCCCCCGAAGCCCCCGGAACCUCCGCGGCUUGGGUCCGGUAGGGGAGGGUGGAACACCCGGUGUAGCGGUGGAAUGCGCAGAUAUCGGGUGGAACACCGGUGGCGAAGGCGGCCCUCUGGGCCGAGACCGACGCUGAGGCGCGAAAGCUGGGGGAGCGAACAGGAUUAGAUACCCUGGUAGUCCCAGCCGUAAACGAUGGACGCUAGGUGUGGGGGGACGAUCCCCCCCGUGCCACAGCAGACACAAUAAGCGUCCCGCCUGGGGAGUACGGCUGCAAGGCUAAUUACUCAAAGGAAUUGGCGGGGGCCCGCACAAGCAGAGGAGCAUGUGGCAUAAUUUGAAGCAACGCGAAGAACCUUACCAAGUCUUGACAUCCCUCUGGCCGGAACUUAAUUGUUCCUUUCCUUCGGGACAGAGGAGACAGGUGGUGCAUGGUUGUCGUCAGCUCGUGUCGUGAGAUGUUGGGUUAAGUCCCGCAACGAGCGCAACCCCUAUCCUCAGUAGCCAGCAUUUAAGGUGGGCACUCUGGGGAGACUGCCAGGGAUAACCUGGAGGAAGGCGGGGAUGACGUCAAAUCAUCAUGCCCCUUAUGAUUUGGGCUACACACGUGCUACAAUGGCGUAAACAAAGGGAAGCGAGAUUGUGAGAUGGAGCAAAUCCCAAAAAUAACGUCCCAGUUCGGACUGUAGUCUGCAACCCGACUACACGAAGCUGGAAUCGCUAGUAAUCGCGGAUCAGAAUGCCGCGGUGAAUACGUUCCCGGGUCUUGCACUCACCGCCCGUCA
rnacentral:rRNA from 1 species